UUAAGCGACUAAGCGUACACGGUGGAUGCCCUGGCAGUCAGAGGCGAUGAAGGACGUGCUAAUCUGCGAUAAGCGUCGGUAAGGUGAUAUGAACCGUUAUAACCGGCGAUUUCCGAAUGGGGAAACCCAGUGUGAUUCGUCACACUAUCAUUAACUGAAUCCAUAGGUUAAUGAGGCGAACCGGGGGAACUGAAACAUCUAAGUACCCCGAGGAAAAGAAAUCAACCGAGAUUCCCCCAGUAGCGGCGAGCGAACGGGGAGCAGCCCAGAGCCUGAAUCAGUGUGUGUGUUAGUGGAAGCGUCUGGAAAGGCGUGCGAUACAGGGUGACAGCCCCGUACACAAAAAUGCACAUGCUGUGAGCUCGAUGAGUAGGGCGGGACACGUGGUAUCCUGUCUGAAUAUGGGGGGACCAUCCUCCAAGGCUAAAUACUCCUGACUGACCGAUAGUGAACCAGUACCGUGAGGGAAAGGCGAAAAGAACCCCGGCGAGGGGAGUGAAAAAGAACCUGAAACCGUGUACGUACAAGCAGUGGGAGCACGCUUAGGCGUGUGACUGCGUACCUUUUGUAUAAUGGGUCAGCGACUUAUAUUCUGUAGCAAGGUUAACCGAAUAGGGGAGCCGAAGGGAAACCGAGUCUUAACUGGGCGUUAAGUUGCAGGGUAUAGACCCGAAACCCGGUGAUCUAGCCAUGGGCAGGUUGAAGGUUGGGUAACACUAACUGGAGGACCGAACCGACUAAUGUUGAAAAAUUAGCGGAUGACUUGUGGCUGGGGGUGAAAGGCCAAUCAAACCGGGAGAUAGCUGGUUCUCCCCGAAAGCUAUUUAGGUAGCGCCUCGUGAAUUCAUCUCCGGGGGUAGAGCACUGUUUCGGCAAGGGGGUCAUCCCGACUUACCAACCCGAUGCAAACUGCGAAUACCGGAGAAUGUUAUCACGGGAGACACACGGCGGGUGCUAACGUCCGUCGUGAAGAGGGAAACAACCCAGACCGCCAGCUAAGGUCCCAAAGUCAUGGUUAAGUGGGAAACGAUGUGGGAAGGCCCAGACAGCCAGGAUGUUGGCUUAGAAGCAGCCAUCAUUUAAAGAAAGCGUAAUAGCUCACUGGUCGAGUCGGCCUGCGCGGAAGAUGUAACGGGGCUAAACCAUGCACCGAAGCUGCGGCAGCGACGCUUAUGCGUUGUUGGGUAGGGGAGCGUUCUGUAAGCCUGCGAAGGUGUGCUGUGAGGCAUGCUGGAGGUAUCAGAAGUGCGAAUGCUGACAUAAGUAACGAUAAAGCGGGUGAAAAGCCCGCUCGCCGGAAGACCAAGGGUUCCUGUCCAACGUUAAUCGGGGCAGGGUGAGUCGACCCCUAAGGCGAGGCCGAAAGGCGUAGUCGAUGGGAAACAGGUUAAUAUUCCUGUACUUGGUGUUACUGCGAAGGGGGGACGGAGAAGGCUAUGUUGGCCGGGCGACGGUUGUCCCGGUUUAAGCGUGUAGGCUGGUUUUCCAGGCAAAUCCGGAAAAUCAAGGCUGAGGCGUGAUGACGAGGCACUACGGUGCUGAAGCAACAAAUGCCCUGCUUCCAGGAAAAGCCUCUAAGCAUCAGGUAACAUCAAAUCGUACCCCAAACCGACACAGGUGGUCAGGUAGAGAAUACCAAGGCGCUUGAGAGAACUCGGGUGAAGGAACUAGGCAAAAUGGUGCCGUAACUUCGGGAGAAGGCACGCUGAUAUGUAGGUGAAGCGACUUGCUCGUGGAGCUGAAAUCAGUCGAAGAUACCAGCUGGCUGCAACUGUUUAUUAAAAACACAGCACUGUGCAAACACGAAAGUGGACGUAUACGGUGUGACGCCUGCCCGGUGCCGGAAGGUUAAUUGAUGGGGUCAGCGCAAGCGAAGCUCUUGAUCGAAGCCCCGGUAAACGGCGGCCGUAACUAUAACGGUCCUAAGGUAGCGAAAUUCCUUGUCGGGUAAGUUCCGACCUGCACGAAUGGCGUAAUGAUGGCCAGGCUGUCUCCACCCGAGACUCAGUGAAAUUGAACUCGCUGUGAAGAUGCAGUGUACCCGCGGCAAGACGGAAAGACCCCGUGAACCUUUACUAUAGCUUGACACUGAACAUUGAGCCUUGAUGUGUAGGAUAGGUGGGAGGCUUUGAAGUGUGGACGCCAGUCUGCAUGGAGCCGACCUUGAAAUACCACCCUUUAAUGUUUGAUGUUCUAACGUGGACCCGUGAUCCGGGUUGCGGACAGUGUCUGGUGGGUAGUUUGACUGGGGCGGUCUCCUCCUAAAGAGUAACGGAGGAGCACGAAGGUUGGCUAAUCCUGGUCGGACAUCAGGAGGUUAGUGCAAUGGCAUAAGCCAGCUUGACUGCGAGCGUGACGGCGCGAGCAGGUGCGAAAGCAGGUCAUAGUGAUCCGGUGGUUCUGAAUGGAAGGGCCAUCGCUCAACGGAUAAAAGGUACUCCGGGGAUAACAGGCUGAUACCGCCCAAGAGUUCAUAUCGACGGCGGUGUUUGGCACCUCGAUGUCGGCUCAUCACAUCCUGGGGCUGAAGUAGGUCCCAAGGGUAUGGCUGUUCGCCAUUUAAAGUGGUACGCGAGCUGGGUUUAGAACGUCGUGAGACAGUUCGGUCCCUAUCUGCCGUGGGCGCUGGAGAACUGAGGGGGGCUGCUCCUAGUACGAGAGGACCGGAGUGGACGCAUCACUGGUGUUCGGGUUGUCAUGCCAAUGGCACUGCCCGGUAGCUAAAUGCGGAAGAGAUAAGUGCUGAAAGCAUCUAAGCACGAAACUUGCCCCGAGAUGAGUUCUCCCUGAGACUUUAAGUCUCCUGAAGGAACGUUGAAGACGACGACGUUGAUAGGCCGGGUGUGUAAGCGCAGCGAUGCGUUGAGCUAACCGGUACUAAUGAACCGUGAGGCUUAACCUU
rnacentral:rRNA from 1 species